UCGGUCGGUGAUGAAUAAGUUACCGCCCCAGACUGAUGAAUGGUGUGGAAUGGUUGUGUCUGACCAG
rnacentral:snoRNA from 1 species